AUACUUAAGUAGCAGAAGGAGAUAGCAUGCUACUAAGAUGUUUUCCCAGUUUUUCCCAGUGUAAUGGUGAAGUUCAUCCAUUACACUCCAGGUGUGGUGCUCCCUGAUAUUUCCUUAAUGAGAAACUUGACUGCAUAAUUGGUGAUAGUAGGGUUACUGUGUCCAUGGUCUUCCCUG
rnacentral:snRNA from 1 species